GCUACCUCCCGGGUCUCUCAUUGCCUCCCCCACCUUCCCGAGGCCCGACCGGGGCGUUUGGGGCGUUGUGGGCGGCGCCCAAGGGCCUCGCGCUAUCCGCCGUCUCUCUCAAACCAUGGGGUGUCCUCUUCUCUAGCUUGUGCUGAUUCCUGAGAGAAAGCACAUCUAUUCAAGUGUUGGUACAUUGUGUUGAUUGAACUCUGUGAAAAUAAUUCAUGGUGAUGGUAGUUUUCACUCUAAAGACCAUUCUUCAGAUUAACUGCUAUAUAAUCUUGAUGUGAAAUGAAUGCUCUUAUUAUAUAA